AUGCAGACCCUGAGUUUGCUGGCAUGUGGUUGAAUUUGAGGGGCUGCUCAUCGAAUUGGCAGAUGACACCAAACUGGGAGGGGUAGCUAAUGCCACGGAAUGCAGAAUUGGGAUUCAAUAUGACCUUAACAGAUUGGCGAACUGGGCCCAAGCUUACAUUUAUCCCUAUUGCCAUUCAUUUUGUAAGGUCCUGCACUUUUUCAAGAAUAACCAGCUGCGCAACUAUAAGCUGGGGAACACCUGUGAAAAGGAUCUAGGGACUUUAGUAGACCACAAGUAAUAGUCUCACUCUAUUCUGCCUUGGGCAGACAACACCUGGAGUACUGUGUCCAGUUCUGGGUGCCACAAUUUAAGAAGGAUAUUGAAAAGCUAGAACAUGUGCAGAUGAUCAAGGGUCUUGCUUGUUUUCUCUUGCUCCAGAGGGUAGGAUCCAAAUCAAAGACUUCAAGUUACAAGAAAGGGAAUCUGACUAAACAUCAGGGAGAACUUUCUGAUACAGUGAACUGUUUGACAGUGGAAUGGAGGGCCUAUGGAGCACUGGCAUCCACAUGGUAGCUUUAUUUUCCAAAGCACAUCUUUUGUGACGCAUAGUUUGUUGCUCAUCUGCUGAAGGAUCAUUGUUUCACCAGUAAUUUUUUUUUUAACUAACUGAACAAUGUAAAAUGUUCUGCUAGGCUACUUUGCGCUGCUCUUUUACAUCUGUCAGUCAAGGACUAUGCUUAUGACAAGGCUCAUGGCACUCUCAAAGAGACUCAGCUGUCAGGAGACUGGAUUUCAGCCAAAGUGUUCUUCAAAUGUUCUCUGUGGGUUGCAGUAUCUGGCUGUAUAGAAUGAGGGGGCUUUGUGUGUUUGCAUUCAUAAGUUUGGCUGAGAAGCUAUGCCAGAAAUAUUUAUAACAAGGGUGUGUGUGUGUGUGUGUGUGUGUGUGCGUGUGCGUGUGUGUACACGUACUCUGGAUUUUGGAUAGUCAGCAAUGUUGCUGGGCAAAAUACCAAAAAAGUUUUGAGUCUAUCCAAUAAUCUCCAGAGGGAGAGACUCAUCUCCUGGGUAGUUUAAUGACAUAAAAAGUCCUGCUGAAUCAGACUAAAAGCCCAUCUACACAACCCCCCUGUUCUCAUAGUGGCCAACAGAUAUCUCUGGGUCGCCUGCAAAAAAGGAUAUGAAAACAACAGCACAAAUACUAGCAAGGCAUUCCUGUACCUAGCUGUUAUUUUAAAGUUUACUGUAUGAUUGGCCUAUUAUACCCAAAUUAGAACCUGGCAAACAAACAAACAAAAUUGCCUCUUUCAGCAAGCAUUUGGAGGAGAAGAGACCUAAUCAGACAAAUUGAUUAAUUGCUGUAACUGCUGUUGCUAUUAGUAAUGGACAUUUGGUGGUUUAUUUUUAUUUUGUGCGUUUUUAUGGAUUUUAUGCACUCUUUUAAUGUUAUUUCAUUUUGUUGUAAACCACCUGUGUCAUGUAUAAAAGACAGUGUAUUUAAUUCAUUCAUAACAAUAUUUGUAUACUGCAAUUCCGUUAAAAACAUCAAAACAGUUAUACACAAUAAACAAUUAUACAUAGGGACACAUGGAGGGUCUGUCAUAACAAAUACAUUUUAAGCAUGCUUACACAGAAGUAAAUCUCAAUGAGUUGCUUGGACAACUGGUGCCAUUGAAAUGGGGUUUCAUUGUAAAGUUACUGUAGUUUGCAUUUUGAUGUUGAAUAUUGAUGCUUCAUAUAUGCUGUGCUUCUGUGCUUAUUUGUUUUAGUUUUUGUACAUUGUUUUGAGAUUUGAAUUGCUCCUAAAUUUUUCUUAAAAUAUGGACUAAUUAGUA